AUGAUGGAGGACAAUGAGGUUGAUAGGCUCAGCAAGUUGCCUGAUGACGUUUUGCUCAACAUUGUGGAGCGACUUGAAAUCGCUGAUGCUGCACGAACUACCAUCCUCUCCACACGUUGGAAACAGAUCCCUGCUAUACUCUCAAAGGUUGUUAUCGUGGUUGGUUCUUUUGAGCCCAAGCACGAAAGGAGGAAGAUAACCUCAGAUGAUAUAGUUCGGGCCAACGCCACCGUGCUGGAAGCUGCUAGGUGCAUACUGGGAAGGAGGGCUGGGAGUCUAUCCACCAUUCACCUGUUGUGCAUGCAAUUCUACUUGGGAGAUGAGUCUGUUUUCAUUGGCCAGACUGUUGCCAACACCAUAGCAACACAAAAGGUCGCUUCAGUUGAUUUUACAAUCAUGACGAAGGUGCGCAGAAAUUGUUCCGUUGAUGAACUGCUCACUUAUGGGAGGCAGUUCAUGUCAUUCUUUGGUUCGUGUCCAAACACAUUUGGUGGUCUUGCACGCCUCACGCUAGAGAAUUUGAGGUUGGGUGAAUCAGACUUCCCCAAAAUUUUCAGUAUUUGCAAUCAACUGGAGUUCCUCCGUUUCCAACAGUGUGAUGCGGGGAAUAUGUCUUUGCUGGAAGUGGAACACGAACAGCUCCGUGAAUUACUGAUUUUUUGUAGCAGUAUUAAGAGGGUUGCUCUGAAGUGUGUACCAAAGCUCACAAUACUGAAAAUUAAUGCUUUUAUGUCUCCAGAAGACCCCUUCUGUCUGGGCUAUGUCCCACUGCUUCAGACUGUGACCAUCAUUAAUACUGGUCUUUCGCGGCACAAGAUGCUCAAGUUAAGCGAGUUGCUGGGUAAGACCGCCAUAAGCACCCUCCAUUUGAACUUCAAAUGUGAAAAGAUUUGGGUGAAACCAGAAGGUCGAAAGCAAUUGCUACCGGUGUUCCACAAACUAAGGCUUGUGAAUUUGAUCAACAUUUCUGAAGAAUGUGAUCUGACUUGGACGAUGUUCAUACUCCAAGGUGCACCCGCCCUUAAGGAACUAUGCAUCAUGGUGAGGGAUCAUUUAUGUGAAAUGACAACCGGGGAGGUGAGGAAGAGGUUUACGUACAGCGAGAAGAAGGACAAAGGACUAGAGUGGGAACCAUCUUCCCCUGAUUUCAAGCACCACAAUCUGGCUGAGCUCAGGAUCUAUGGGUUUCAGGCAGAAGACAGAUUCAUGAGGUAUGCCAGAAAUGUCAUGGAGGCAGCGGUGAACCUGGAGGCCAUGAACCUAUAUAGAAAUCCAGGGUGUGACAAGUGCAAGCACACGCUUUCAGGUCAGUGGACAUGGACGGAGAUGUUGUUGAUCAGAAACAAAAUAAACAAUGGGAUGUCGUCACAUGCCAGGAUUCACUUCCCGAGUUGA
rnacentral:rRNA from 1 species